UCUUUCUCCUCCUCCUGAUCUUCCUCCUCCACCUCCUCCUCCUCCUCCCCCCUCCCCUCCUCCUCCUCUUCAGUCCUCCUUUCCCCCUCUUUCUCUUCUCUGCCCCUCAGUUGGGAAAAAAAAAAAAAAGAAAAAGAAAAGAAAAGAAAAAGAAGAAAAAAAAAUUGUCAAGCCCCCGAACUGAAGGCUACGAGCGGCCCGUCAGCAACCCACAUGUAACCGAACUGUCGUGUUUCAUGGCUUUUUGCCACUCCAGCUGUCAAUCAAAGCCCGGAAUGUCAAGAAGAAACUCCAAGAUUAUAAAUGCAUCCUUCUUAUCUCCUCGACAUAUAAGAAAAGGUGAGUAACAAAGAAAAGAAGACGCAAAAGAAAAGAAAAAGUUGGCUCCCAGAAUUUUAUUUCAAGGGACAGUUAGGCGAAUCCAGCUUAGCCGGGGCGGGAAGGAUGAGAGCGGAAAAAGCCACGCUGGUCUCGCCGCUGAAGGUUUUGACUUUGCAGAGUGGUCUUCAUAUUGGAUCCAAGUUUCCCGUGCAGCGCCGCUCUCAGAGGAGUUUAUUCCCGGUUUUCCAAUUUUUACUCUUCUAAUUUUUUAAAUCUUGCAUAUUUAUUGUCGCCAAUGGGAUUGUUGUUGUUUUAAAUAUCUGUAUAGUAAGUGCCAAUUCUUUUUUUAAAAAGGAAACUCAAUUUCCUUGAUACAUGCUCCUUUAAAGAUCAACUUCGAACUGAACCUCUGCCAUCUCAGAAUUUAAAGAUUCAACGUUGUUACCUUCUGCUGCUUUUACCACCGCAUUUUUUUCUCGUAGUGAAACUGUGGAGUUAGCAUCCCUACAGCUUCGAUUUAGAAAAACUGCACUGGUAUUUUCUUUCAAACCUGUUUCUUGUGAGGCACUGCAUCCGAGUAAAAACAAUUCAGACCAAUAGACGAUUUCCAUAUUUUCAAACAGUUGUUAAAAUAAUAAUGGGUUGAUUGCUCCCAUCAUAAUCUUGGGUUUUACAAAAGAAAAAAAGUUUAAAAUCUAUUUUCAUCUUUUGGGCGAUGCAGAAGCCUUUUUAACCUGCGAACAUACACUCCCCCCCCCCCCAUUCUGUAACUUCUUUCCCAUUUUAUUGAAUACAUACAUUAAAGCAAACAACAGGGACAAUUUAGUUUGAUGUAGGAGGGAGAGAGAAAAGGGAUAUUUUAAGAUACUGUU